CUCGACAUUGAGAAACGGCCUCUGACUCAUGGAAGUGUUCUACUUAAUUAUUAAUUAUCUCUAGGAAACGUUUGUCAAACUUGUCUUUCAGGUGCAUGAAAAUGAUUUGUUUCUGUUUUCUAUUUUGUCUGUUUUUAAAUGAGACCUUCAGGGAUACUUUUAGUGAUUUUCUCUGUGUUAGAGAAGCUAACAUGAAAUCACACCACUUAUCGUCAGUGCUGUAAGUGACCACACUCAAGCUAGGAAGUGAUACCGCCACUAACACUUGAGCAGCAGAUCCUGCUUGAGACAUAAAGGUCAAUACAUGAAUUGACUGCACAGUAUCUGCUACACGGUUUAGUUUUGAAUAAUUAAGAAGUACGCUGCUAUCUACAGACCCCACUACUACCCACAAGUAUCAUUUACAUACAAUAACCUUCCUUCCCAAUAAGACGAAGCCUGUCGUUUUUGUCUUUCUCAUUCUUAGGCUCCUGAUGGCGCUGCAGGUCUUUGUCAAACUGGUUUCCCUAUCAGCAGCCAGCAUCAGCAGCUCAGAGUGACCUGCGCUGCCACUUCCAGCAGUCAGCAGAGGCAGAUGCUUCAGUCCAACAACUUCCUCAACAUGUCGAAGCUGCAUGCGGCAAACAGCCUCCCCUUCACUCCCUCCUCCUCCUGCUCCUCCUCUCCCCUCCUCAGAGGCCCCAACAUGGCCCCACAUCAACACACUGUGACAUUUUCAUCCUCUUCCUACCCCCAGGCCAGCUUACUGCAGCAGAGCAUCUCUCUGACAGACACGGAUAUCUUGCAGUGAGAUCAGAGGUUUUUACGAAUGUGUCAUGUUUGGUGUUCAGGAAAGGUCAAUCAGACACUUCAUCAUUGAGACUUUUGUUGUAAUUUUCUUACCUUUCCAUCACAAAACAGAAGCCUGCACACUUCAAUAACUCCUUUUUAUUAGAUGAAAAUGUUUCAAUUGAUAGUGUAUCUUCAUCAGGUCAGACGUACAACUACCUUAUACCCAUAUGUGCAGAAAAAAACAAGAGCAUCUUAUAUGGAUUACCUUUUUUAAUCAGUUCAACAUAACAACCAGUCAUGUGUACAAGCUUAUCCCUGUUUGAUUUUAAAACCCAUUUUAAAACCGUAUGUAAAAAAUAUCCUAUACACAGGAAAUGCUUUCAAAUGUGUAUAUAUGUAAAAACCUUCAAAGUAAGUCAUCUUGAGCUUUCCUGUACAUGCUUAGUGCUUAUUUAUUUUAAAAUGAAAGGUUUGUUGGAUACAUGUAUAAUGCAACAUGAGUAAUAUAUGAUUUUGUUUAUUUAAAUGCAUGUUACUGUCUUUUAAAAGUCUAGACCAGCGGUUCCCAACCUUUUUCAACUCAGGGCCCACUUAAGAAUCUAAAAAAAUGUUGCGGUCAACAUUCAACCAUAAACAAUACGGAGGCUAAAUGAAGUUCUGAUUGGUCAAUUCAGAACAUGUGACACGUUGUUAAUCCAGUAGUUCAGACCGCUGUGAAGGAUUGUAAUGACUGUUGCUAAGGAGGAUCAAGAAAGAAAAAGAAAAGAGGUUAAAAAAAAGAAAGAAAUUUUUCCACACAAAUCAUAAUGUUUUGCAAAUUAAUUGGCGGCCCACUUGCAAUGCCUUCGCGGACCACUAGGGGGCCGCGGCCCACAGGUUGGGAACCGCUGGUCUACAAGAAAGGGAUUUCCAGUGUGAUGGUAACUGUAUUUUUUGCACUUUGUUUUGGAGUUGAAAUGUGUAAUACACAAAGAAAUUGCCGGAAAAGUAUUGCAAAGACUUGAGGCUGCUAAUAAGAAUACAAUAUUUUGUAGUUUGUCAAAAACAAACUGAAGAUUGGCAAUCACCAGAUCAAAAUGAGAAGCCUGUGUUCAGUAACAUUAAAGGCAGCUAAAAGAA